CUAAAUUCUGUGAAUGAGAUAAUCACAAAUUUGCUAACUUUAAAAAAAAAAAGACAAACUCUCUUCUCUAGUACUGAGACAAGACUACUACAAGUUUCAAUAAAGAAAACUUCAUCCACAGCACCCUGGACAUCUUCUUUGCUGGAUCAGAGACAACAACUGACACACUGUGCUGGGCUGUGCUCUACAUAACUUCAAACCCAGAAGUGCAAGAAACAGUACACUCUGAGAUUGACAGAGUGAUUGGCCAUGGGAGACAGCCAAGCACUGAUGACCAAGAGUCCGUGCCCUACACCAAUGCUGUCAUCCAUGAGGUGCCGAGGAUGGGCAACAUCAUCCCCUUGAAUGUUCCCAGGGAAGUCACAGCUGAUAGCACUUUGUCUGGAUACCACCGGCCUAAGGCACUCUCCCCUUCUCAUCUCCAGUCCAUCCUUGGCAUUAUGUGAGGAACACAAACAUGUAGUUCUGCUCCCAAGAAAUCAACCAAAAUGGAAGAGAGAUAUUAUUAAUAAAAGAAUGUGAACACUCUUACAA